rnacentral:rRNA from 1 species
UACGGGGGGGGCAAGCGUUGUUCGGAAUUACUGGGCGUAAAGGGCUCGUAGGUGGCCAACUAAGUCAGACGUGAAAUCCCUCGGCUUAACCGGGGAACUGCGUCUGAUACUGGAUGGCUAGAGUUUGGGAGAGGGAUGCGGAAUUCCAGGUGUAGCGGUGAAAUGCGUAGAUAUCUGGAGGAACACCGGUGGCGAAGGCGGCAUCCUGGACCGGUAUUGACGCUGAGGCGCGAAAGCGUGGGGAUCAAACAGG